GUUGUAUAGUCCAGUAAUUAAGUGCAUGUGGUGGAUGCCUUGGCAGUCAGAGGCGAUGAAAGACGUGAUAGCCUGCGAAAAGCUCCGGGGAGGCGGCAAAUAUCCUUUGAUCCGGAGAUGUCUGAAUGGGGGAACCCACCUACUUUAAGGUAGGUAUUGCAACAUGAAUACAUAGUGUUGCAAGGCGAACGAGGGGAAGUGAAACAUCUCAGUACCCUUAGGAAAAGAAAUCAAUUGAGAUUCCCUCAGUAGCGGCGAGCGAACGGGGAUCAGCCCAUUAAGUUAUGUGUGUUUUAGUGGAACGCUCUGGGAA
rnacentral:rRNA from 1 species